UCACACACACACAAAAAAAAAUAUUUUGGAGCUCCUUCUAUAUGAGUCUCUCUCUCUUAUCUCUCUCAGGAUGUGUGUAUGUGUUUGUUUCUCUGGAAAACCCUGACUAAUACAGAUUAGCUAUGUAUUAGGUAAUACAUAAUGCCUAAUACAUAACUAAUAUAUGGACAGGAAGUUAAUAGACUGACUGUGCCACCUUAAAACUCGUAUGUUGAAGCCCUAACCUCCAACGUGGUGGUAUUGGGAGAUGGGCCUUUUGGAAGGUAAGUGUGUUUGAAUGAGGUGAAGAGGUUGGGGACUUCGUGAUGGGAUUAUUGUCCUUACAAGAAAAGACACCAGAGAGCUUGUUCUGUCUCUUUGGGCCAUGUGAAGACAUGGUGAGAAAGCAGCCAGCUGUAAGCCAGAGAGUCCUCACCAGAACCUAACCAUGCUGGUGAUAUCCUCAUCUCAGACUUCUAACCUCCAGAACUGUGAGAAAAUAAACUUCUUUGUUUAAACCACCUAGUCUGGUAUUUUGUUACGGCAGCCUGAGCAGACCAAUAUAGAUUGUAUAAAUUUCAGUUUGUUUAAAAGGACAGGCCGGGUGUGGUGGCUCACGCCUAUAAUCCCAGCACUUUGGGAGGCAGAGGCGGGCGGAUCACAAGGUCAGGAGAUCGAGACCAUCCUGGCUAACACAGUGAAACCCCGUCUCUACUAAAAAUACAAAAAAUUAGCCGGGCGUGGUGGCGGGUGCCUGUAGUCCCAGCUACUCGGGAGGCUGAGGCAGGAGAAUGGCCUGAACCCGGGAGGCGGAGCUUGCAGUGAGCCGAGAUCGUGCCACUGCACUCCAGCCUGGGCAACAGAGCGAGACUCCGUCUCAAGAAAAAAAAAAAAAAAAAAAAAAAGUAAAGGACAACUAAUGAAUCAAGGAAGACUUUAUGGGAAAAAGUAAGAUUUAACAUGCUCUAAAUAGAAAAAUGGUUUGCUUUUUUUUUUUAAGGUUUAACGUGUUUAUCAUGGUUGGCAGCUAAGUAGAGGAAGAGCCAAGUCCAGAAUCUAACAUUUGGACUUCCCCUCAUUUAAACAGUGGCGUUUUGCCACGUUGCCCAGACUGGUCUCAAACUCCUCAGCUCAAACAAUCUGCCCACCUCGUCCUCCCAAGAUGCUGGGAUUACAGUCAUGAGCCACUGCAGCCAGCCUACAUUUUUAAAUGGUUGGAAAAUCAAAAGAUUAUUUGAUGACAUGUGAAAAUGGUAUAAAACUGUGAAAUCUAUUGUCCAUAAGUAAAGUUUUCUUUGAACACAUCCAUGCUCACUCGUUAACUUAUUUUCCAUGGCUGCUUUCAUGCUGCAACUGCAGAGUUGAGUAUUUCCAACAGGUCAUGUUUUUGCAAUGCCUAAAACAUAUACUCUCUGGCAUUUUACAGAAAAAUAUUGCUAAUUCCUUUGUAUUCUGUAGAAGAAUACAAAAUAACAUGGAAAUAACCACAUAAUUAUGUUGCUUCUUGUAUUCUCC
rnacentral:lncRNA from 10 species